GGGAAAGUGGCCUCUUCUCCCGAAUAGCCACCCAGGAAACCCCAUAAAGUGGCCCCUGUACAGCUAUAAACACCAAGGCAUCCUCUGAACAUUCCCCCUUGCGUGACGAUAACCACCUAGGAACCUCACAAAGAAGGUGUCCCCUGCUUGCAAACAAGCAACCAGGGACCAUACGGAGAUGGCCCUUGCUUGCCAAAAAAUGCCCCACGUAC